rnacentral:rRNA from 1 species
GAUGAACGCUAGCGGCAGGCCUAACACAUGCAAGUCGAGGGGUAACAUAGAAAAGCAUGCUUUUCUGAUGACGACCGGCGCACGGGUGCGUAACGCGUAUACAACCUACCUUUUAGCGGGGAAUAGCCCAGGGAAACUUGGAUUAAUGCCUCAUAGUAUAUAAGCUUCUCCUGAAGUUUAUAUUAAACAUUUAUGGCUAUUAGAUGGGUAUGCGUCCUAUUAGUUAGUUGGUAAGGUAACGGCUUACCAAGGCAGCGAUAGGUAGGGGUCCUGAGAGGGAGAUCCCCACACUGGUACUGAGACACGGACCAGACUCCUACGGGAGGCAGCAGUGAGGAAUAUUGGACAAUGGGCGAGAGCCUGAUCCAGCCAUGCCGCGUGCAGGAAGACUGCCCUAUGGGUUGUAAACUGCUUUUACAGAGGAAGAACCACCCCCACGUGUGGGGGUUUGACGGUACUCUGCGAAUAAGGAUCGGCUAACUCCGUG